rnacentral:misc_RNA from 1 species
GAAAUGCGAUAAGUAAUGUGAAUUGCAGAAUUCAGUGAAUCAUCGAAUCUUUGAACGCACAUUGCGCCCGCCAGAAUUCUGGCGGGCAUGCCUGUUCGAGCGUCAUUUCAACCCUCGAGCUCCCCUUUCGGGGGGAGCCCGGCGUUGGGGACCCGGCGCUAACAACGCCGGCCCCGAAAUGGAGUGGCGGCCCGUCCACGGCGACCUCUGCGUAGUAACAACCACUCGCACCGGGACCCGGGCGCGGCCACGCCGUAAAACACCCCACCUUCCGAAUGUUGACCUCGAAUCAGGUAGGAAUACCCGCUGAACUUAAGC